rnacentral:rRNA from 1 species
UAGGUUUCCUCUGCUUUUGCUUCUUUAUUGAGUUAGCGGCGGACGGGUGAGUAACACGUGGGUAACCUGCCCAUAAGACUGGGAUAACUCCGGGAAACCGGGGCUAAUACCGGAUAACAUUUUGAACCGCAUGGUUCGAAAUUGAAAGGCGGCUUCGGCUGUCACUUAUGGAUGGACCCGCGUCGCAUUAGCUAGUUGGUGAGGUAACGGCUCACCAAGGCAACGAUGCGUAGCCGACCUGAGAGGGUGAUCGGCCACACUGGGACUGAGACACGGCCCAGACUCCUACGGGAGGCAGCAGUAGGGAAUCUUCCGCAAUGGACGAAAGUCUGACGGAGCAACGCCGCGUGAGUGAUGAAGGCUUUCGGGUCGUAAAACUCUGUUGUUAGGGAAGAACAAGUGCUAGUUGAAUAAGCUGGCACCUUGACGGUACCUAACCAGAAAGCCACGGCUAACUACGUGCCAGCAGCCGCGGUAAUACGUAGGUGGCAAGCGUUAUCCGGAAUUAUUGGGCGUAAAGCGCGCGCAGGUGGUUUCUUAAGUCUGAUGUGAAAGCCCACGGCUCAACCGUGGAGGGUCAUUGGAAACUGGGAGACUUGAGUGCAGAAGAGGAAAGUGGAAUUCCAUGUGUAGCGGUGAAAUGCGUAGAGAUAUGGAGGAACACCAGUGGCGAAGGCGACUUUCUGGUCUGUAACUGACACUGAGGCGCGAAAGCGUAGGGAGCAAACAGGAUUAGAUACCCUGGUAGUCCACGCCGUAAACGAUGAGUGCUAAGUGUUAGAGGGUUUCCGCCCUUUAGUGCUGAAGUUAACGCAUUAAGCACUCCGCCUGGGGAGUACGGCCGCAAGGCUGAACUCAAAGGAAUUGACGGGGGCCCGCACAAGCUGUGGAGCAUGUGGUUUAAUUCGAAGCAACGCGAAGAACCUUACCAGUCUUGACAUCCUCUGAAAACCCUAGAGAUAGGGCUUCUCUUCGGGAGCAGAGUGACAGGUGGUGCAUGGUUGUUCGUCAGCUCGUGUCGUGAAGAUGUGGGGUUAAGUCCCGCAACGAGCGCACCUUUGAUCUUUAGUGCAAUCAUUAAGUUGGCACCUCCUAGGUGACUGCAGGUGAACAACGGAGAGGUGGGGAUGAUCGUCAAAUCAUCAUGCCAUAUGUGACCUGGCUUACCAUGUGCUUACAUGAACGGGUUACAAGAGCUGCGUACUGCAAGGUGGAAGCUAAUUCUCUUAAAACGGUUCUCUCAGAUCUGCGAAUG